GUAGGUGGCAAGCGUUGUCCGGGAAUUAUUGGGCGUAAAGCGCGCGCAGGCGGUUCUUUAAGUCUGAUGUGAAAGCCCACGGGCUCAACCGUGGAGGGUCAUUGGAAACUGGAGAACUUGAGUACAGAAGAGGAAAGCGGAAUUCCACGUGUAGCGGUGAAAUGCGUAGAGAUGUGGAGGAACACCAGUGGCGAAGGCGGCGUUUCUGGUCUGUAACUGACGCUGAGGCGCGAAAGCGUGGGGAGCAAACAGGAUUAGAUACCCUGGUAGUCCACGCCGUAAACGAUGAGUGCUAAGUGUUAGGGGGUUUCCGCCCCUUAGUGCUGCAGCUAACGCAUUAAGCACUCCGCCUGGGGAGUACGGCCGCAAAGGCUGA
rnacentral:rRNA from 1 species